UGUCCUCUAAAUAGGGACCAGCAUGAAUGGCAACAUGAGAAAGAAGCUGUCUCUUUUGGUCGCUCAGUGAAACUGAUCUGCCUGUACAAAAGCAGGCAUAAAAAAGCAAGACAAAAAGACCCUGUGAAACUUUAUAGUACCCCUCAAUCAUAUGACGGGGCACUUUUCGGUUGGGGCAACCAAUGAGAAACAAACCUCAUAAAAUCACAAGACAUACAAGCCGAGUGAAACUUGAAGAUCCAGUACUACUGAUCAAAGAACAAAGCUACUCCAGGGAUAACAGCGCCACAUUCUUAAAGAGUCCAUAUCAACAAGAAUACCUACGACCUCGAUGUUGGAUCAGGACACCCCGAUGGCGCAAAAGCUAUUAAAGGUUCGUUUGUUCAACGAUUAAAGU
rnacentral:rRNA from 1 species